UGAGCAUUCUUUUCCACAGUGAUAGCCUGAUCAAUCCGAUUGUUUAUUGUAAAAAGAAGCAUCACAAAACCAGUUAUAAUAGAUAGAGCCAGUUCUAGUUAUCUGAGGGAGCUGGGAAUCUUUUUUCCUAAAACAUUUAUUUCAGUCUGAAUUUGAGUAUACAUAAACAUUAAAAUGCAAAUAUUUAAAUCUCUACCCUCCUCGCUUCUAAACAGUUUACCAAGCACCUGCCACAUUCUCAGCUCUUCUGCUUCUUAGCUGUGUGAAUUGGGCAAGUUAUUUAAUCUCUCAAAGUUUCCUCAUUUUUCAAAUGAGAAUAAUGGGUCCUCCUCUCACAGAGUUGCUGUGCAGAUUACAUGAAGUAAUAUGUGUUACACGCUCAGAACAGUCCCUGGUACUUUCAUCAUCUUCAUCAUGACUACCAUUAUCAUCAUCUAUAUUAUCACUGUUAUUUUUAUUUACAAGUCACCAUUAUGUGAUACAGAAGGUAUCUAUGUUAACAGUUGGGAGAUUGUUAAAUAAAUAAGAUUACCAGUCGGGAGAAUAUUAAAUAAAUAAAUAAAUAAGAGGAAAUAUUUUGUGAAUUCAUAAUAUGAAAAGUAAGUAUGUCAAAUUUCUGUAAAUCCAGAAAAACCUUAGAGGAGAAGAUGCUAUGUGGCAUACAUUUAAAGAAUGAGUACGGGUUUGAUGGAGGAAGGUGGAUUGGGAAUGGGUCGCAAGCAUUAGGAAUAGUUUAGUACAGGAAAAAGAAUAAUACCCUCUUAUCAAGUCAGCAUACAGGGACUUCCCUGGUGGUCAAGUGGUUAGACUCUGCGCUUCCAAUGCAGGGGCUGCGGGUUCAGUCCCUGCUUGGGGAACUAAGAUCCCACAUGCCGCACGGCAUGGCAAAAAAAAAAAAAGAAAAA